CUCUUCUCAUUUUUUUUUCCUGUUUUAACGCUCUUUUUUUCAAAUUUUGUCUGUGAGCUCCGUCUCUUCUUCGCUUUCCCACGCUGGCUGAAUGUGCCUUGACCCCCUUCAGAGAAGUUUGACACAGAGCAGGAACAUUUCCGCAUUCCUCCCGACUACAAAGACUAACCGCCUCCUUUUGCCCUCCUUGGUUCUUUAUCAUUCAUAGUUCUCUCUCGGUUUUGUCUCAGUGUCAAAACCAGCAGCACCACGGGGGGAAAGCUGGGCAGCAAGAAAAGUGUAUUUGAUGGACCAGUCGAUCUAUCCGGCCAUUGAAAACUAUUCGUUGACAAUACAUCAGCGGGGAAGCAGGGUGACAAGCUCGCCUCUGGCCCAUAAGGUCAGGUUCAAGGACCAGUGGCUUGGGUUGUGUCAGGGGUGAUUCUCCCAAAGCGCUCCUUCGAGGGUGCUCUGUUUCACUGCUUCAUCCAAACGUGAGAUGCCAACUGCACACGUUAGAGAUAGUCCACAGCUUUAAAUGGACCUGAGCCCUAGGACCAUGCCUCAUGACUACCUGACAUGAUGACUCCUUGCUGUCCCCAGUCCACCUGGCCGUGCUGCUGCUCCAGUUUCAACUGUUCUGCCUUAUUAUUAUUGGACCAUGCUGGUCAUUUAUGAACAUUUGAACAUCUUGGCCAUUUUCUGUUAUAAUCUCCACCCGGCACAGCCAGAAGAGGACUGGCCACCCCACAUAGCCUGGUUCCUCUCUAGGUUUCUUCCUAGGUUUUGGCCUUUCUAGGGAGUUUUUCCUAGCCACUGUGCUUCUACACCUGCAUUGCUUGCUGUUUGGGGUUUUAGGCUGGGUUUCUGUACAUCACUUUGAGAUAUCAGCUGAUGUACGAAGGGCUAUAUAAAUACAUUUGAUUUGAUUUGAUUAGGUAAAGGUGUUAUAACACAGAGGUAAAGGUGCUAUAACUCCUAAAUAAAGGUUCUAUAACUCAGAUGUAAAGAUGUAAUAACACAGAAGUCAAUGUGUUAUAACACAGAGGUAAAGGUGUUAUAACACAGAGGUAAAGGUGUUAUAACACAGAGGUUAAUGUUUUAUGACGCAGAGAUAAAUGUGUUAUAAGACAGAGUAAAAGGUUUUAGACGACAGAGAUAAAUGUGUUAUAACAUAGAGGAAAAUGUGAUAUAACACAGAGGGAAAGGUGUUAUAACAGUGAUAAAGGUGUUACAACACAGAGGUACAUUUGUUAUAAUACAGAGAUAAAUGUGUUAUAACACAUAGGUAAAAGUGCUAUAACUCCUAAAUAAAGGUUCUUUAACUCAGAGAUAAAGGUUCUAUAACUCAGAUGUAAAGGUGUUAUGACACAGAGGUAAAGGUGUUAUAACACAGAGGUAAAGGUGUUAUAACACAGAGGUAUAGAACAACAGUAAUGGUGGAACAUGAACCGAUAAACAAAGCCAGUGAUUUAUAUGCUCUUUGAGUUUAGUCCCCCUCAACUUCUCUGUUCUCUCCUCAGGAUGAAGAAGAAUAAAGCCUGUUUUGCAGCUUUACCGCCACGUUAAUCAUCUCUUGUUGAAACAUUUAAAUACACCCACAUUACAGUUGAAACACAACACCAGUCGAAGCGAAUACCUUUGUACCAGUAUACCACAGAAUCUGUCAUGACAGUUUCAAGCGCAAUACGUGGAAUGUAGUUUGUUAACCAAACCCACCCUUUUGGGAAUUUACAAGUCUCUUGUUUUUCAGACGAGACCACUGUCAUUGCCCUGAAUGCCACCAUAUGACAAAGUUUGGCAAGAGAGUUUGACAGUUAUGAAUAAGACAUAUAAUUGGCAGCCUUUUAGCAGCCUGAAAGCUGUGGGGUUAAGACAGUUUGUCUUUUUAACCCGAGGCUUAGCAUGGAUAAAGUGAUAACAUAAGCCUGGCUGGAGAGAUAAAGUAGAACAGUAGACCUCUUGGUUGGACACUUCCCAUUUGCUGAUGUUUUGAUCAUGGCUCCUGCACUCUGUUGAGGUAAACUAGACAUCUACUGUUGGGUCUCAGGUCAAUGACCUAUAAGCAAUGGUACUUUUCUGAUCGUCUAAUUCUAAAUGUACAGUGUAUAAAAUCUUUAGAUAUGCUGUACCUCAAAUUGGUUCAUUUCAAAAAGAGAGUAUGACGAAUUUGAGAGGAUCCGAGCAUGGCUGGGGAGAUUUGGACAGUCCAGUCUUUCUUAAUCCACAGAGAAGAUCACUGUUAUAAACCCUGCAUAAAAUCAGGAGACAAUGCUAGGUUGUUUUCUGUGUUGGCUUGAUUUUCCCUUUUUUUCAAGUCAAACUGAAGACCAGAGAGCAGCCAGCUAGUAAAGCCUCCCCUUCCCCAGCCCAGGCCCCUCAAAACAAGCCUCUUUCUGUUGGGAAUCUCCAUGGAAACCAAGCAACUAACUUGAGGAGGGAUAUAAAACCUGCUCUUUGAGGGACUGAAGGAACACCUGCCACCUCUACAGAUGGGGGUCAAAAUAGACUGACACACUGCCACCUCAUAAUGAACAGAGGGUUGUGUAACAUUUAAAUGAGUCCCCGUCCCGAACAUCUGCUCAUCGUCAAUUACUUAUUCACUGAUAACUCCUAUUUUAUCUGUUAAAACAGACCCAAUCUUUACUGGAAAUCACUUGAUGCAAUAGUGUAGUCAUUUAUGAGUAUUGGUUCAGAUUGCAGAUUGGUUAAAAUGACAGUAAUAACUGAUAUGGACUGUUCAUCAUUCUAAGAUUGAAGAUGUUAGGUGCGUAAUUGAUUUGGGAAUCUGCAUCACAUCUUGAAGUCCGAGAGCUCUGAAGGUUUUGAAAAUAAGAUAUUUGGUUGUGUGGCCGUUAGUUUGUACAUAACAUGGGUUCCAUUGAAAUCCAGCAACUGCAUGUUUAUGGAAGCGACACCACACUAUCCCCUGGCUGUUACUGUCAAAGCAAAAAGCUGCUGUUGGACAUACAUAGCCUGAACAACCUUAAUUAACACCUGCAGAAUAGCCCCGCGGUUGUUAUUUUACUGCUGCUCUUUCAUUGUUACUGUUUUUUAAUUGGUUAAGGGCUUGUCAGUAAGCAUUUCACUGUGAUGUCUACACCUGUUGUAUUCGGUGUAUGUGACAAAUAACAUCUGAUUUGAGAACCACAACAUAAAUAAAAGAAAAGUACUGUUAACCACACCAACAUUACUGGGAUUGUUAGCCACUCCGUCUUUUUGUAACCUUGCUUUUUAGGGCUAAUUGCCCUGACUUUCCAGAGUUCAGGGGUCAAACAGUUUGUCAACAAGCAUUAGGGCAGAAAUUCAAUCAACUGUUCAGCUUUUGCGAUUCAAAGGAAUCUCCUUCAAGUGUUACAAUGACUAUAAACAAAUCUUGUCCACCACCACUAUCACUAUCAAUACAGUGAGUCCCUCACAUUUCACCUAUUGUAUUUCCGCUUACCCUCACCCAUUCACACCCCAAACAUCAAAGGCCCUAUCAACAAGAACAAGUGGCAUGCAGGGGUCAUCCAUCCAGCCACCCAGCCUCAUUUUAGCCUACACUGCCGGAGGCAAUAUGCUCUGGGAUGCAUCCCAAAUGCUACCCUAUUCCCUUUAAAGUGCACUAUAUUAAUUUCACCAGGGGCCAAAGGGAUCUAUAUAGAGCAUAGGGUACCAGUCUUCCAUGUUCCUCCCCAGCCCUCCCCACUCCUCACAACUCCAUUCAUGUGUGAAAGUGACGGCUGC
ensembl:lncRNA